UCUAAAAUGGCAGAUCAUUGCAUAGGACUUAAGCUCCUAAUAGGAAGCCCAGCUUCUUUUAGAAAUUA
rnacentral:tRNA from 1 species